UAUCUCGAUCCCCCUCUGCUCCCUCGCGAUGUGGUCGCCGACCGCUUCUCUGGCCGAUCGCCCGCCACCUCCGGCGCCGCCGCUGAUCGGCGAGGAUCCGCCCGGCCUCCUUCUGCCAGUCUCCAACCUCCACAGCGCAUCCAGCACGCAAGAGCGUACGCACGCGUACCUGCGCGUCGCUGACGGCGUGCCGCCGCACGGUGCUGCUGGUCGCCCCCGCCAUCGUCGUUGGCUAGCAAAGCUCCGCCACCAACCUCUUCCUCAAUCACCCGCCACCACGAGGCUCGCCGCCCUCCUGCGCGCGCGGCCACGCGAAACCCUAGCAGAGACUCAUGUUCGUUGAUGCGGACGCGGUGGUCGCCGAUUCCGGCUCCCAUGCCCCCUGCUACCCAUCCUGACUACUGUGACCUCCUCCUCGACCACGAGCCACAACUCGAUUAUCCUGACGCCGACGACCAUCUCCUGGUCCCCUGCAUCGAUCUGCUCGAUGUGGUGAUGGUGGUGUGGUGCUUCUGGUCGUGUGUCGACCGCUGUCUCGACGUCGGCGGGACGGCCACUGAUGUGCAACCCCUGCGCCCGUGUACCGGUGCUGGUGUGGUGUUGGUGGUGACUACUGCAUCCUCGACGCCGGCGGAAUGGCAUCCUCUGCAACCCCGGCGUCUACUUCUCCGCUACGGCACUCUUGGCAAUUUACUUGAUGGCUUGCUGUGACAGCUUGUAUGCUUAUAGUGCCUCUGAUUGCUGCUAUGGUACUACUUGGUUGGCUUGGGAUGAUUUCCUGGACACUAAGUAGUUCCCUGUAACAUGUGGAUCAUUACUAGUGGCUUAUGGUGAUGAUUAAAGCCUAUGCAUAUAUGAUCUUGGACAGUAGUGUUGUGGGAAAACACAAAAUGAGCUUUGAGUUUCUUGUCUAUGAUCUAGUUGCAAAGUAGCAACUAGAAAUGAUUUUUCAGGGUUGAAUUUUAUUUGUGGAUCUUGUUGUCCCUUGUUGGAUAAUCUUAAGCUGAUAAGAACAGAUAUGGCUUGAUCUUCUAGCCUUGCCAAUGAUGCAAAGGCUGAGGCACAAAAUGGUAAUAAGAACAGAUACUUACAUGUGCCUCCCUAAUUUCUCGAUGAUGAUCAUGCAUAGCACUUCUAUGCACGUCUGAGAGAAAUAAUUCCUUCUAAUCCUCCUGGACUGGAUCCAGUUGCAGGGUGGUUGGAUCUAAGUGUUGAUGCCCUUGGUAGCUUGUCCUUCUGAUUUUUCAUAUAUCCAACAUGGUUACAUGCUUUCCUCUUCGAGCUCCUCCCAUUUCCAGCUGCUGAGCUCAGUGAUUAUUCUUGGUGAACUAGAGAUGGCUAAAUGAUAUGUGUUGGCGUACAGAGAAGCUGCAGAAAUGGUUUGCUCGUGUGUGCAUACUAUGGUUUGGCUAGCUGCUGUUGUUUUGCUUUUGUACUACUGAACUACUGAUUGUGGCAUCGACAUCACACAGCAAUGCAUAUGUGUGAGCUGCCGGGGUGUGGCCCCAUCUCUUGUGCAGAUUGACAAUUUGGUUUUCUCCUCUUCCUAGUGCAAGCAACGUCAGUUUGCUCUUAUCCUAGUUGGGCCUUUAUUUUUGAUACUGUCAAGUGUAUAAUACCAUGUCAAGUGUGUAAUACCAGUGGACUUUAGUUGUUUGCCAAUUGACAUGAUUACUGGUUGUUUUGAUACGUAAUUAAGAUGAUGCAUGAUUACUAGAAUAAUGAGAUGGAUUAGUGAUUUAAGUUUCUAUUGGUAAUCAAUACCAAUAGUAAACUAGUUUAAAUUCCAUAGUGACUUUUCCGAUUAGGAGCUUGUCUAGGUUUAGAGGGACUGCUCUAUUGACUUGUUAACAUAGAUAAAUGGAUCAAAUAUGAUUUGUCUUGUCCUUUCUCUGUUAUUGAUCCAAUGCUGCCAUUUACCCAUAUUGCCUACUUGCUGAUUAUGAUCCGAGAUGAUCCAGUUGUCCCUUUUAUGAUCCAAAGAUGGUUCUCUCGAUCCAAUGUUGCCUUUAGAUUCAGAUUGAUCCCUCUAGCCACCAAUUGGGUAUUAGAACAAGUUUCUAAUGUCUAAUAGUUAAGCUCCAACACAUUAAAAUGCCUCAUCAUUGAUGAUGGCAACAUUUUAACAUUAACAAACUAUUUUCUUGCCUUUGUUGUGUCUUUUGCAGGGAAAGAAGAACAAGAAGAUUGGAAGAUUGAGAUUUAGGACUUCUUUUAUUUUCUUUUUGUAAUCUUUCUCUAUUUCUAUUUAUUUGAAAAAUUGUAAAUAAUUGGACAAUGUUAUUUAUAUUAAAGUUUAAAUUAUUUAUUCAUUUGGAAUUAUUAAA